rfam:Firmicutes bacterium CAG:114 genomic scaffold, scf200
GGAUGGCAAUCUGGAGACAUCUGCGUAUGGCAGGGGCCGAAGGGGCAAGACCAAGACUCUCAGGCAAAAGGACAGACUCAUAGGA